rnacentral:rRNA from 1 species
UAUUGCACAAUGGGGGGAACCCUGAUGCAGCGACGCCGCGUGAGGGAAGAAGGUUUUCGGAUUGUAAACCUCUGUCCUCUGUGACGAUAAUGACGGUAGCAGAGGAGGAAGCCACGGCUAACUACGUGCCAGCAGCCGCGGUAAUACGUAGGUGGCGAGCGUUAUCCGGAAUUACUGGGUGUAAAGGGAGCGUAGGCGGGGGAACAAGUUGAAUGUUUAAGAUAUGGGCUCAACUCAUAUAAGCGUUCAAAACUGUUUUUCUUGAGUGAAGUAGAGGUAAGCGGAAUUCCUAGUGUAGCGGUGGAAUGCGUAAAUAUUAGGAGGAACACCAGUGGCGAAGGCGGCUUACUGGGCUUUAACUGACGCUGAGGCUCGAAAGCGUGGGUAGCAAACAGG